rnacentral:rRNA from 1 species
CAAGUCGAACGCGUUGGCCCAAUUGGAKRWAGAKGGUGCUUGCACCUGAGGAAUUUGGUGGCCAACGAGUGGYGGACGGGUGAGUAACUGUAGGUAACCUGCCCAGAAGCGGGGGACAACAUUUGGAAACAGAUGCUAAUACCGCAUAACAACGUUGUUUYKCMUGAMCAACRCUUAAAAGAUGGCUUCUCGCUAUCACUUCUGGAUGGACCUGCGGUGCAUUAGCUUGUUGGUGGGGUAAYGGCCUACCAAGGCGAUGAUGCAUAGCCGAGUUGAGAGACUGAUCGGCCACAAUGGGACUGAGACACGGCCCAUACUCCUACGGGAGGCAGCAGUAGGGAAUCUUCCACAAUGGGCGCAAGCCUGAUGGAGCAACACCGCGUGAGUGAAGAAGGGUUUCGGCUCGUAWUUUCUCUUUUUGUUAAAGAAGAACACGUAUGAGAGUAACUGUUUCAUACGUUGACGGUAUUUAAACCAGAAAGUCACGGGCUAACUACG